rnacentral:rRNA from 1 species
UACAGAGGUCCCAAGCGUUGUUCGGAUUCAUUGGGCGUAAAGGGUGCGUAGGCGGCGCGGUAAGUCGGGUGUGAAAUCUCGGGGCUUAACUCCGAAACUGCAUUCGAUACUGCCGUGCUUGAGGACUGGAGAGGAGACUGGAAUUUACGGUGUAGCAGUGAAAUGCGUAGAUAUCGUAAGGAAGACCAGUGGCGAAGGCGGGUCUCUGGACAGUUCCUGACGCUGAGGCACGAAGGCCAGGGAGCAAACGGG